rnacentral:rRNA from 1 species
UACGUAGGGUGCGAGCGUUAAUCGGAAUUACUGGGCGUAAAGUGUGCGCAGGCGGCCGCGCAAGUCGAGUGUGAAAGCCCCGGGCUUAACUUGGGAAUUGCGCUCGAAACUACGUGGCUGGAGUGUGGCAGAGGAAGGUGGAAUUCCAGGUGUAGCGGUGAAAUGCGUAGAGAUCUGGAAGGAACACCGAUGGCGAAGGCAGCCUUCUCGG